CAGAGCGAGACUCCGUCUCAAAAAAAAAAAAAAAAAAAAACCCUCUAAAUUUAACUUAGUUGCAUGAAAAGAAAGGGGUUUCUGAAGACAAUGGAACACAUAUUUUCCAUGGCCCUUUAAGUUAUCUAAAACCUUUAGAUAUUUUAUGGCAGCACCCACAGCUUUAAACAUACCCUAAUACACACACAAACUCUAUCGAUAACAUGGGCAUGAGCACUGGACCUAUGUCCAAAUGACUUAGAAAAAUUCAGUAAAGAACAACUUUGUUCUGGACUGAAAAGGGUUAUAUGCAUCUUCCCUAAAUUGAGUAAAUUACCAGCUAUUUGGAAAGUACAAUGUACUGGCUUUUAUUCAAAAGAGCAACAUUUAAUGCUGGCAACACUGCCAAAUUCCUCCUUUCCUCUAUUCUCCUUUUCUUAGAGAAAGUGAUUAAGAGACCAAUUCCCAUGCCAGCUGAAUGCUUAUAAGAGCAUCAAAGGUCCUCUGUCAGAAUUCAGAACCUGAUAUGGCUUAGAAACUGCUACACCAAUAGAUAACAUCCUCAACAUUAUAAAUCAAAGCCAUAUGACCACAUUAAAAUUCCAUCAGCUAGUAUCAAUACACUGUGGUUUAUAAAGUACUGUUGACCUACCUCUAGGAGAUGGUUAAAAUGAUAUAAAAGUUAUGCUCUGGUUUGGGGCGUGUAGCUACUUUUUACAAUUGAGUUACUCAUCCAUAGCAACAGCAAAUUCUUUCUACCUCUGUAUCCUUAUUGAUUUUGUUUAAUUAAAGCUUUAGGAGAAAGGAAGAGAAGGUUCCAUAAGUCGAGGCAGAAACAGAAAUAAAUGUUAGAAGGUCACAAUAGACAUUUUGCUAUUUUGAACUGUUCCUGUUAUCUCUUAAUUAUAAUUGUCAAGGGCAAAAGCCUUCCUAUAUAAUUUAAAAUCUGGGAUCUUCUUAAAAUUGUAACGACAUUUCAAAAUCUUAAAACAACUAGGUCAUUGCAUUUCAAACUUUUCUGCUUAAACCUACAGUAAGAAUACCCUUGAAAUCUUAACAUAGCACAUACACACACACAUGCAAGUACACACAAAAUAGAAGUUAAUCAAAGAAUACUUUACCUUUAUUAUAUAAAAUGCCUUAUAUUUUAGUACAUUUUAUUUAAUAACACCUUUAGCAAAAAGUACAUUUUCUUCAAAGUAGACUGUGUCCUGUAAUUUAAAGAAUUUAAAGAAUAUUUCCAAUGUAUAUCUCUUAAACCGCUAAGACUUCUGCAGGAAUUAUUUAAGGCAGGGACCGUUGAUAUAUGGAUUAAAAAAAAAAUAAAUACAUUCAUUUCUUCACUUACCCUUCCAUUGAUUCAUUAAUUCAAAAAUUAGUGGAUAUUGGCCUGAUACAUGAAAGCUUCUGUGCUAAGGCCCUAGGGAUAGUUGAAUGAACAUUUUACCACUACAAACCCACGUGUUUUUCUUUUUUUUUUUUUUUUGUUUCCAGAAUUUGGCUUUAUUUUGCAGUACAGAAAUCAUUUGGAGCCAUUUUGAGACAGAAGUAGAGGCUCUGUCAAGUCACUACUGCAUUGCAGCUUGAUCCACUGAAGAAGCCACGCCUGAGAUACAAAAGAUGCGCCACACUUUAACUGCUUUACGUUCACUUCCGCUCCGCUCUUCUCUCAUCAACUUUAUUAGGUUAAAACACCACAUACAGGCUUUCUCCAAAUGACUCCCUAUUGUCUGGUGUUUGGUUAGAAUUUUAUGCCCACAUAAACCAAACUUGUGGCUAUGCUAUUUGGGCCCUGCCAUAACAUUUGACAUAAUACAAAAUAUAAAGUCAUGGGGAAAACUUCUGGAUGCCGUGCCAGACCAUGGAAUAUUCAAUUUAGAAUCUCCUGAACCUCAAGAGGAAAGAUGGCACACAACCUGUAUGGAUCCAGCUCUUGAGCAGCAGAAGCACAUAGCUACACUGAUUAAAAGAUAAACUGUCUCAAGUUGUCUAUGUCGGUAUCCCAAUGUUUGUUUAAAACUGAUCCAAUUAAACUUUACAGUGAGUCUUUGGCAAGAUAUGGCAAAAGCCUAUACCUUUAUCCACUCUGUGGCCUUGGAGAACUGCCCCAAGGAUUUGCAAGGCUAAGUGCUAUUUAUGGAGGUACCUAAAUGCUGAAUAAACCCAUUGAAGGAAUCAUUGUGCAGAAUGGAAAAGUAAUUGGUGUAAAAUCUGAAGGAGAAAUUGCUCGCUGUAAGCAGCUCAUCUGUGACCCCAGCUAUGUAAAAGAUCGGAUAGAAAAAGUGGGCCAGGUCAUCAGAGUUAUUUGCAUCCUCAGCCACCCCAUCAAGAACACCAAUGGUGCCAACUCCUGCCAGAUCACUAUUCCACAGAACCAAGUCAGUCGAAAGUCAGGUAUCUACGUCUGCAUGAUCUCCUUUGCGCACAAGGUAGCAGCACAAGGGAAGUACAUUGCCAUGGUUAAGCACAACCGUGAAAACCAAGGAGCCUGAGAAGGAAAUCAGACCAGCUUUGGAGUUCUUGGAACCAAUUGAACACAAAUGUGUUAGCAUCAGUGACCUCCUGGUACCAAAAGACUUGGGAACAGAAAGCCAGAUCUUUAUUUCCCGCACAUACGAUGCCACCCACGUGUUUUUCUAAUCGAAACUAAAAUGACAAAGAAAAACAGAAAAUACAUCUUCGCAAAAUAUCAAAAAAUUUCUAUUAUUUACUCA